rnacentral:rRNA from 1 species
AGAGUUUGAUCAUGGCUCAGAUUGAACGCUGGCGGCAUGCCUAACACAUGCAAGUCGAACGGUAACGCGAAGAGCUUGCUCUUUGGCGACGAGUGGCGGACGGGUGAGUAAUACUUAGGAAUCUACCCAGUAGCGGGGGACAACUCGGGGAAACCCGAGCUAAUACCGCAUACGCCCUACGGGGGAAAGCAGGGGAUCUUCGGACCUUGCACUAUUGGAUGAGCCUAAGUCGGAUUAGCUAGUUGGUAGGGUAAAAGCCUACCAAGGCGACGAUCCGUAGCUGGUCUGAGAGGACGAUCAGCCACACUGGGACUGAGACACGGCCCAGACUCCUACGGGAGGCAGCAGUGGGGAAUAUUGGACAAUGGGGGCAACCCUGAUCCAGCAAUGCCGCGUGUGUGAAGAAGGCCUGCGGGUUGUAAAGCACUUUCAGUAGAGAAGAAAAGCCUAAGGUUAAUAACCUUGAGUCUUGACGUAACCUACAGAGAGACGAUCCGAA